rnacentral:rRNA from 1 species
CCAUCAUUUAAAGAAAGCGUAAUAGCUCACUGGUCGAGUCGGCCUGCGCGGAAGAUGUAACGGGGCUAAACCAUGCACCGAAGCUGCGGCAGCGACGCUUAUGCGUUGUUGGGUAGGGGAGCGUUCUGUAAGCCUGUGAAGGUGUGCUGUGAGGUAUGCUGGAGGUAUCAGAAGUGCGAAUGCUGACAUAAGUAACGAUAAAGCGGGUGAAAAGCCCGCUCGCCGGAAGACCAAGGGUUCCUGUCCAACGUUAAUCGGGGCAGGGUGAGUCGACCCCUAAGGCGAGGCCGAAAGGCGUAGUCGAUGGGAAACAGGUUAAUAUUCCUGUACUUGGUGUUACUGCGAAGGGGGGACGGAGAAGGCUAUGUUGGCCGGGCGACGGUUGUCCCGGUUUAAGCGUGUAGGCUGGUUUUCCAGGCAAAUCCGGAAAAUCAAGGCCGAGGCGUGAUGACGAGGCACUACGGUGCUGAAGCAACAAAUGCCCUGCUUCCAGGAAAAGCCUCUAAGCAUCAGGUAACAUCAAAUCGUACCCCAAACCGACACAGGUGGUCAGGUAGAGAAUACCAAGGCGCUUGAGAGAACUCGGGUGAAGGAACUAGGCAAAAUGGUGCCGUAACUUCGGGAGAAGGCACGCUGAUACGUAGGUGAAGCGACUUGCUCGUGGAGCUGAAAUCAGUCGAAGAUACCAGCUGGCUGCAACUGUUUAUUAAAAACACAGCACUGUGCAAACACGAAAGUGGACGUAUACGGUGUGACGCCUGCCCGGUGCCGGAAGGUUAAUUGAUGGGGUUAGCGCAAGCGAAGCUCUUGAUCGAAGCCCCGGUAAACGGCGGCCGUAACUAUAACGGUCCUAAGGUAGCGAAAUUCCUUGUCGGGUAAGUUCCGACCUGCACGAAUGGCGUAAUGAUGGCCAGGCUGUCUCCACCCGAGACUCAGUGAAAUUGAACUCGCUGUGAAGAUGCAGUGUACCCGCGGCAAGACGGAAAGACCCCGUGAACCUUUACUAUAGCUUGACACUGAACAUUGAGCCUUGAUGUGUAGGAUAGGUGGGAGGCUUUGAAGUGUGGACGCCAGUCUGCAUGGAGCCGACCUUGAAAUACCACCCUUUAAUGUUUGAUGUUCUAACGUGGACCCGUGAUCCGGGUUGCGGACAGUGUCUGGUGGGUAGUUUGACUGGGGCGGUCUCCUCCUAAAGAGUAACGGAGGAGCACGAAGGUUGGCUAAUCCUGGUCGGACAUCAGGAGGUUAGUGCAAUGGCAUAAGCCAGCUUGACUGCGAGCGUGACGGCGCGAGCAGGUGCGAAAGCAGGUCAUAGUGAUCCGGUGGUUCUGAAUGGAAGGGCCAUCGCUCAACGGAUAAAAGGUACUCCGGGGAUAACAGGCUGAUACCGCCCAAGAGUUCAUAUCGACGGCGGUGUUUGGCACCUCGAUGUCGGCUCAUCACAUCCUGGGGCUGAAGUAGGUCCCAAGGGUAUGGCUGUUCGCCAUUUAAAGUGGUACGCGAGCUGGGUUUAGAACGUCGUGAGACAGUUCGGUCCCUAUCUGCCGUGGGCGCUGGAGAACUGAGGGGGGCUGCUCCUAGUACGAGAGGACCGGAGUGGACGCAUCACUGGUGUUCGGGUUGUCAUGCCAAUGGCACUG